UCCGGGCUUUGUUUGCGCAGGAUAGGUGGGAGGCGAUGAAAAUUUUCUUGCGGGAAGAUUGGAGCCGUUGGUGAGAUACCACUCUAACAAUGCUAGGAUUCUAACCCUACACCGUUAUCCGGUUAGGGGACAGUUUCAGGUGGUCAGUUUGACUGGGGCGGUCGCCUCCCAAAAGGUAACGGAGGCGUGCAAAGGUUUCCUCAGGCUGGUCGGAAAUCAGUCGUAGAGUGUAAAGGCAUAAGGAAGCUUGAUUGUGAGACCUACAAGUCGAACAAAGACGAAGGUCGGCCUUAGUGAUCCGACGGUUCCGAGUGGAAGGGCCGUCGCUCAACGGAUAAAAGUUACUCUAGGGAUAACAGGCUGAA
rnacentral:rRNA from 1 species